CGAAAGCCUGACGGAGCAAUACCGCGUGAGGGAGGAAGGCUCUUGGGUUGUAAACCUCUUUUCUCAGGGAAGAAGCUCUGACGGUACCUGAGGAAUCAGCAUCGGCUAACUCCGUGCCAGCAGCCGCGGUAAUACGGAGGAUGCAAGCGUUAUCCGGAAUGAUUGGGCGUAAAGCGUCCGCAGGUGGCGAUUCAAGUCUGCUGUCAAAGGUCGGGGCUCAACCCUGAACAGGCGGUGGAAACUGAACAGCUAGAGUGCGGUAGGGGUAGAGGGAAUUCCCGGUGUAGCGGUGAAAUGCGUAGAGAUCGGGAAGAACACCAGUGGCGAAAGCGCUCUACUAGGCCUGCACUGACACUCAGGGACGAAAGCUAGGGGAGCGAAUGGGAUUAGAUACCCCAGUAGUCCUAGCCGUAAACGAUGGAUACUAGGCGUGGCUUGUAUCGACCCGAGCCGUGCCGGAGCUAACGCGUUAAGUAUCCCGCCUGGGGAGUACGCGCGAAAGCCCUGAAACUCAAAGGAAUUGACGGGGGCCCGCACAAGCGGUGGAGUAUGUGGUUUAAUUCGAUGCAACGCGAAGAACCUUACCAGGGCUUGACAUGUCCGGAAUCCGAGGGAAACUUCGGAGUGCCUACGGGAGCCGGAACACAGGUGGUGCAUGGCUGUCGUCAGCUCGUGUCGUGAGAUGUUGGGUUAAGUCCCGCAACGAGCGCAACCCUCGUGCUUAGUUGCCAGCGGGUAAAGCCGGGCACUCUAGGGAGACUGCCGGUGACAAACCGGAGGAAGGUGGGGAUGACGUCAAGUCAGCAUGCCCCUUACGUCCUGGGCUACACACGUACUACAAUGCUGCGGACAAAGGGCAGCAAGCCAGCGAUGGCAAGCCAAUCCCAUAAACCGUGGCUCAGUUCAGAUUGGAGGCUGCAACUCGCCUGCAUGAAGGCGGAAUCGCUAGUAAUCGCCCGGUCAGCCAUACGGCGGUGAAUACGUUCCCGGGCCUUGUACACACCGCCCGUCACACCAUGGAAAGCUGGUUAUGCCCGAAGUCGUUACCCUAACCUUUCGAGGAGGGGGAUGCCGAAGGCAGAGCUGGUGACUGGGGUGAAGUCGUAACAAGGUAGCCGUACCGGAAGGUGUGGCUGGAUCACCUCCUUUAUAGGGAGACCAACCGAUCUCUACAGCAAAAGGCAAGCAGUCAAAAUAGCUGGAGAAAGGUCAUCCCAAGGUCGGUCGAAGACAAAAGUGCAUAUAUAGAGAGGCUUUCAAACUAUAAAGUGGUUUGGUUAAAAGCAUGGGGGCUAUUAGCUCAGGUGGUUAGAGCGCACCCCUGAUAAGGGUGAGGUCCCUGGUUCGAGUCCAGGAUGGCCCACCUAAAACUAGUCAAGAGUUUUAAGUUUUGAAUUAGUAGCAAAUCAAAGCUCAAAAUUUCUAACUCGAAAGAAGCUAUCUAACUAAAGGGCUGCCAAGGUAGGGCAGAUAGUGAGUAAUUUGAAGUUGCUAAUCUCCAGUUAAGGGAGAGUGAAAAGAUUUUCCAGUUAGUAAGCAAGUUGCACACAAAUUAGCCUUGGCUGUGAUAGACUAGAUAAGCUUAGAAAAACAGCUUCAGCACCGAGACGGCAAAAAUAACGUCAGACUGCUGGAGAAGAAACCAGCCAGCACCUUGAAAACUGCAUAGUAACGCGUAAAACAUAGAAGCAGGCAGACUGUUGAUACCAGAAAUGGCGUUUUGCAGUCAGCAAGUUUUGAAACACCAAUGUGGUCAAGCUACAUCGGGCUGAUGGUGGAUACCUAGGCACACAGAGGCGAAGAAGGACGUGGCGACCGACGAAACACUCCGGGGAGCUGGAAGCAAGCAUUGAGCCGGAGGUAUCCGAAUGGGGCAACCCUUAGUACAGUUUGCUGAAUCCAUAGGCAAACAUGAGCGAACCCAGCCAACUGAAACAUCUUAGUAGCUGGCGGAAAAGAAAGAAAACUCGAUUCUCCAAGUAGUGGUGAGCGAACGGGGAACAGCCUAAACCAGUUGAUACUUCAACUGGGGUAGUGGGACAGCGACAUGGAAUCUCUAAGUUAGACAAAGCAGCUAAAUACUGCACCAGAGAAGGUGAAAGUCCUGUAGUCGAAAACUGAAGGAUACUAGCUGAAUCCCGAGUAGCACGGGACACGAGAAAUCCCGUGUGAAUCAGCGAGGACCACCUCGUAAGGCUAAAUACUAAUGUGUGACCGAUAGUGAACCAGUACCGCGAGGGAAAGGUGAAAAGAACCCCGGAAGGGGAGUGAAAUAGAACAUGAAACCAUCAGCUUGCAAGCAGUGGGAGGACGAUUCAACGUCUGACCGCGUGCCUGUUGAAGAAUGAGCCGGCGAGUUAUAAGCACUGGUAGGUUAAGGUGAACAGCCGGAGCCAUAGCGAAAGCGAGUCUGAUAAGGGCGCAAUUAAUCAGUGUUUAUAGACCCGAACCCGGGUGAUCUAACCAUGUCCAGGAUGAAGCUUGGGUAACACCAAGUGGAGGUCCGCACCGACCGAUGUUGAAAAAUCGGCGGAUGAGGUGUGGUUAGGGGUGAAAUGCCAAUCGAACCCGGAGCUAGCUGGUUCUCCCCGAAAUGUGUUGAGGCGCAGCGGUGAUGAUUAUAACUGGGGGGUAAAGCACUGUUUCGGUGCGGGCUGCUAGCGCGGUACCAAAUCGAGACAAACUCUGAAUACCCAGCGCAGACAUCACCAGUGAGACGGUGGGGGAUAAGCUUCAUCGUCAAGAGGGAAACAGCCCAGACCACCAGCUAAGGUCCCGAAAUUGGCGCUAAGUGAUUAAGGAGGUGGGAGUGCAAAGACAACCAGGAGGUUUGCCUAGAAGCAGCCAACCUUAAAAGAGUGCGUAAUAGCUCACUGGUCAAGCGCUCCUGCGCCGAAAAUGAACGGGGCUAAGCGCCGUACCGAAGCUGUGGGAUAUGUUGCAUAUCGGUAGGGGAGCGUUCCGCGGUAGGGUGAAGCACUAGCGGUAAGCAGGUGUGGACGAAGCGGAAGUGAGAAUGUCGGCUUGAGUAGCGAAAACAUUGGUGAGAAUCCAAUGCCCCGAAACCCUAAGGGUUCCUCCGGCAGGUUCGUCCACGGCGGGUUAGUCAGGACCUAAGGCGAGGCCGAACGGCGUAGUCGAUGGACAACGGGUGAACAAUCCCGUACUGAGGCUAAUUGGUGCAGAGGGACGGAGAAGGCAAAGCCAGCCGGAAGUUGGUUCCCGGUUCAACUGUUCAAGGCAAUGAGAGGCGGGGAAAACGCCUUGAGCUGAGGCAGGAGUACGAGGCACUACGGUGCCGAAGUGGUGUAGUCCAGCUCCCAAGAAAAGCUCUAAACACCAUAAAUUAGUCUUACCUGUACCCGAAACCGACACAGGUAGGGAGGUUGAGAAUACCAAGGGGCGCGAGAUAACUCUCUCUAAGGAACUCGGCAAAAUUGCCCCGUAACUUCGGAAGAAGGGGUGCCCACGCAAGUGGGUCGCAGUGAAGAGAUCCAGGCGACUGUUUACCAAAAACACAGGUCUCCGCUAAGUCAAAUGACGACGUAUGGGGGCUGACGCCUGCCCAGUGCCGGAAGGUUAAGGAAGUCGGUCAGGGCCUUGGCCUAAAGCUGGCGACCGAAGCCCCGGUGAACGGCGGCCGUAACUAUAACGGUCCUAAGGUAGCGAAAUUCCUUGUCGGGUAAGUUCCGACCCGCACGAAAGGCGUAACGAUCUGGAUGGUGUCUCAGAGAGAGACUCGGCGAAAUAGGAAUGUCUGUGAAGAUACGGACUGCCUGCACCUGGACAGAAAGACCCUAUGAAGCUUUACUGUAGCCUGGAAUGGUGUCCGGGCUUCGCUUGCGCAGGAUAGGUGGGAGGCGUUGAACUUUCCCUUGUGGGGGGAAGGGAGCCAACGGUGAGAUACCACUCUGGCGAAGCUAGGAUUCUAACUGGUAGCCGUUAGCCGGCACUAGAACAGUUUCAGGUGGGCAGUUUGACUGGGGCGGUCGCCUCCUAAAAGAUAACGGAGGCGCGCAAAGGUUCCCUCAGGCUGGUUGGAAAUCAGCCGCAGAGUGUAAAGGCACAAGGGAGCUUGACUGCAAGAGCAACAACUCAAGCAGGUAGGAAACUAGGCCUUAGUGAUCCGACGGCGCUGAGUGGAAGGGCCGUCGCUCAACGGAUAAAAGUUACUCUAGGGAUAACAGGCUGAUCUCCGCCAAGAGUUCACAUCGACGCGGAGGUUUGGCACCUCGAUGUCGGCUCAUCGCAACCUGGGG
rnacentral:sRNA from 1 species